rnacentral:rRNA from 1 species
UUUAUGGAGAGUUUGAUCCUGGCUCAGGAUGAACGCUGGCGGCGUGCCUAAUACAUGCAAGUCGAGCGAACGGACGAGAAGCUUGCUUCUCUGAUGUUAGCGGCGGACGGGUGAGUAACACGUGGAUAACCUACCUAUAAGACUGGGAUAACUUCGGGAAACCGGAGCUAAUACCGGAUAAUAUUUUGAACCGCAUGGUUCAAAAGUGAAAGACGGUCUUGCUGUCACUUAUAGAUGGAUCCGCGCUGCAUUAGCUAGUUGGUAAGGUAACGGCUUACCAAGGCAACGAUGCAUAGCCGACCUGAGAGGGUGAUCGGCCACACUGGAACUGAGACACGGUCCAGACUCCUACGGGAGGCAGCAGUAGGGAAUCUUCCGCAAUGGGCGAAAGCCUGACGGAGCAACGCCGCGUGAGUGAUGAAGGUCUUCGGAUCGUAAAACUCUGUUAUUAGGGAAGAACAUAUGUGUAAGUAACUGUGCACAUCUUGACGGUACCUAAUCAGAAAGCCACGGCUAACUACGUGCCAGCAGCCGCGGUAAUACGUAGGUGGCAAGCGUUAUCCGGAAUUAUUGGGCGUAAAGCGCGCGUAGGCGGUUUUUUAAGUCUGAUGUGAAAGCCCACGGCUCAACCGUGGAGGGUCAUUGGAAACUGGAAAACUUGAGUGCAGAAGAGGAAAGUGGAAUUCCAUGUGUAGCGGUGAAAUGCGCAGAGAUAUGGAGGAACACCAGUGGCGAAGGCGACUUUCUGGUCUGUAACUGACGCUGAUGUGCGAAAGCGUGGGGAUCAAACAGGAUUAGAUACCCUGGUAGUCCACGCCGUAAACGAUGAGUGCUAAGUGUUAGGGGGUUUCCGCCCCUUAGUGCUGCAGCUAACGCAUUAAGCACUCCGCC